rnacentral:rRNA from 1 species
AUACGAAGGGGGCUAGCGUUGUUCGGAAUCACUGGGCGUAAAGCGCGCGUAGGUGGAUCAAUUAGUUGAGGGUGAAAUCCCGGGGCUCAACCUCGGAACUGCCUUCAAUACUGUUGAUCUUGAGACCGAGAGAGGUGAGUGGAAUUCCUAGUGUAGAGGUGAAAUUCGUAGAUAUUAGGAAGAACACCAGUGGCGAAGGCGGCUCACUGGCUCGGUACUGACGCUAAGGCGUGAAAGCGUGGGGAGCAAACAGGAUUAGAAACCCUAGUAGUCC